GGAACCCCCAACCUCCUCCUUUCCACCUCAGACACUGAGCAUGCUCACUGCAGAUUAAGAAGAACGCACGGUCUGGAUUAUUUCUUUUUUGAAAUGUGGAUGGAUCUGGUAACUAAGGCAUCUUAGAAGAGAAUACUGGCCUUUCCAUCUUUGGUCACAAAAAGGAGAGCUUAAACAGAGAUGCUGAGAAGGCAAGUAUAGCAGAGAAUGUGAAGAAAUCCCCGCCAUGGUACCCACAGCAGAUGUUUUCAAAGUUUGGGGAUGGUGAAGGACCCAGGGGACGGUGCCAAGGAGCAGCACGAGGUGCCGUGUGAUAAAUGGAGCUGUCUCUUUCCCAUUACAGGAACAUAGCAAGUUUCAAGAGCAAAUCAGAAACCUAGA